rnacentral:rRNA from 1 species
UACGUAGGGUGCAAGCGUUAUCCGGAAUUAUUGGGCGUAAGAGACUGUAGGCGGUUUGUCGCGUUCUGCUGUGAAACUGGAGGCUCAACCUCCAGCCUGCAGUGGGUACGGGCAGACUAGAGUGCGGUAGGGGAGAUUGGAAUUCCUGGUGUAGCGGUGGAAUGCGCAGAAUAUCAGGAGGAACACCGAUGGCGAAGGCAGAUCUCUGGCCGUAACUGACGCUGAGGAGCGAAAAGCAUGGGGAGCGAACAGG